GGCAGUGACGGCUCAGUGGUUAAAACGCUGGACUACCGACCAGGUCAUGAGUUCAAAUCCCAGGCUGCCU